GGAGUGAACGCUGGCGGUAGGCCUAGCACAUGCAAGUCGAACGGCAGCACAGUGGUAGCAAUACCAUGGGUGGCGAGUGGCGGACGGGUGAGGAAUACAUCGGAAUCUACCUUUUCGUGGGGGAUAACGUAGGGAAACUUACGCUAAUACCGCAUACGCCCUUCGGGGGAAAGCCGGGGAUCGCAAGACCUGGCGCGGAUAGAUGAGCCGAUGUCGGAUUAGCUAGUUGGUGAGGUAAUGGCUACACCAAGGCGACGAUCCGUAGCUGGUCUAGAGAGGAUGAUCAGCCACACUGGAACUGAGACACGGUCCAGACCUCCGUACGGGAGGCAGCAGGUAGGGAAUAUUGGACAAGUGGGCGCAAGCCGUAGACUACCGACGACCAGUACCCGCGGUAGGGGU
rnacentral:rRNA from 1 species